rnacentral:lncRNA from 1 species
AAAAUUGAUGAUGGCUAGACCAAGUAUUCAUGUCUUCAUGUUCUGUCUACUUUUACUACUUUCUUCCAAUCUCAUGGUUAUAACUACUCAUGGCUUUUUCCUUUACCCUAGAAUACAUGUUUUCAUCAAGAAUGGUUUAUCCCAAGGUACAAUUCUAACUCUUCAUUGCAAAUCCAAAGACGAUGACCUUGGUGUUCAUUAUCUCAACUACGAAGAGGAAUAUACUUUUUCAUUUCACUAUAAUAUUUUUGCUCUUCAAGGAUAUACAUUGUUUUUUUGCGGCUUCACAUGGAAUGGUAAAUUGCAUUGGUUUGAAAUUUAUAAUUGGAAGAGAGAUCAUCGUGAAUCGUCACAUUUAAGAUGGAGCAUAAAAGAAAUUACUCCUUGUUUGUUCAAUUAUAAUACACAUAACUAUGAUAUCUGUGACUAUGCUUAUACUUAUAGCCCACUUGAACUUGUAGAAUCUAUAUAUUGAUAUCGAGCGAAAAUUGAGUUGUUUCAAUGUAAUAUCUAUUAUUAAUAUGAAAAUAAAUGUGCUUUUGGCAAUAAUUUAAUGGGUAUGUUAUACAAUGCUAGCUUUCCUACGAUUUGUUAUUUAGGUUUUGUUUCUAAAUUCUGCAUAUCAUUAAGCAUUGCGAGUGUUCAUACAUGAAGAAGAAAAUGGAGAGAGAAAACUCAAAAUAGUUGAGUUUAAUAAAACGUGGAAUGCUGAACAAUGUUUAUUUGAUCGUAAUAAUCAAAUAAUUUUAUUUAUAUUCUGUUUUGAAUUAUUUAUGAUUUCUUAGUUUUAGGCAGUGAUCAUUAUUGAUAUAAAUUUGCAGAAUUAUAAUUAAUAAAUUUAUGGAACAAUAAUAAUUAAUUCAACUUAUAUUUUAUUACAAGUGUAUGGAUAUUGAGUCAAAAUUCUCCCAUUAAUUUUAUACAUGGAUUUCGUUUUUCUAAUUUUAUUAUAACUAUGCUUACAUAGUGCUAGAAGGAUAUAAUAACUACAUGUAGGAAGAUCCAUUCUCAUCAUAAAUUAUUUGGCAUGUUUAAUUGUUGAACAUAUAUAUUUUACGUCAUUAAUCAUAGUAUUAGAAUCCUUUCGAAUCAUAAAUUAUUACCUUAUUAAUUAUUGACAUGAUUCAGCUGAUAGUUACAUUUUAGAAGCUAAAAUUAUUAGUCAGAUUACUCUUGAAUGUCUUUUAUUUCAUUUUUAAAAAAUUAAACAAUUAUUCCCCAUAAUUAAUUUUGGGAUUUGAUGAAUGAUUGUAUUUGUGAUUAAAUUUGUCUUUAAUCUUUAUUAUGCAUGAUUGUUGUUGAAUGUCUUUUAUUUCGUAUCUUAAAACAUUUUUUUUUAUGCAAAGGUGGCAAAACACCCACUAUAUAUUAAUAUUGAGAAGCAUUACAUGGAGAACAAUUACAACUUCCUAAACCUAUAGUUAGGCCUACCUGCCAAUUUUUUGGGAAUUCAUUACUGAUGAAAGAUGACAUUACAUUCCACAAACUAUUUAAUCUAGAUAUGCUAUCAUAAUUAGCCAGUUGGUUCACACAAGUGUUACUUUCCCUGAAAAUGUUCCCCACAAUUAAUUUUGGGAUUGAUCAUAUUUUCAUUUUCAAUUAAAUAUGUGGUUUUCAUUUUCUAACAUAAAAUAAAAUCAUGUUAAAAUAAUAUUACUUUAUGAUGUAAUAGAAUUAAUAAGAUACGUAAGAUACAUAUCCAUCAAACAAACUAGCUCUCCUAUAGUCUCCUUCAACUUUAGAAUCUACUCUCAUAUAUAAGUGAGUAACAAUCAAGACAACAAAUUUAAUUCUAAUCUAUCUUGAUCUAUAACACAAACCAAUAACUCAAAUAAUAAACUUUAUCUCUUUUAAAACAAAUAUAUUCACUUCUUAAUUAAUAGUGCACACAUCUCGGCUUCUCCUUAAUUUUCCCCUAAAAAUAGUCACGUAAUCUAACAAUGAACACUUGCACACUAUAUUCAUCUUCUACUAUCUACAAAAGAGACUAUUAUCAUUAAAUUAAUCUUUUAUCUCUCUAUUCUUAUUUCAUUUCAAUUAAUUUUUUAAUAUUCUCUUCUUUUAAAUAGUUUGUUUUUCCAUUUUUACCAACGGGGCAUUGAUUCAAGUGAUACAUGCUAGAUUUUCCUUAAACAAUGUAUCGGGUUCGAGUCUUGUGGAUGGAAAAAAUGCCCACUGGGAGAGUUAGCCUCACGUACCUGUGAAUGUUCCCAGUUCGGACAUGAUUGCCUCUAGUGGGAGGAUACUUGUGGGAAACAAAAAAAAAACUAUUUCUCCUACAUUUUUUCAUCUUUAUUAAACAUAUAUAUUCUCUUCCAAUGUCAAACAAGAUAUCUAUUAACUACAUAACAAAAAAGUUAUUGUCAUGUCAUCAUGGACAAAUGUCAAUCUCUUCUUAAUUUUCUUCCCCCAAAACAGCCACAUAUGCUUAUAGUAAGCUCUCACAUACUUUAUUCAUCUUCUACAAUCCAAAGAAGAAAUUAUUUUUGGGUCAUCAUCUGUUGUACCACAAGAGUAUGUCACUUAAUGUGUCCUUGUUCUAAUUGAUUGAAAAAUAUAUAUUUAAUUUUAAAAUUUAAUGAAAUUAUUUUUAUGACCAAUCACUGAAAGUGACAGAGAGUGUCACACUUUUUGGGAUAGAAGACACACUAUUUUCAUCAAAUUAAUCUUGCAUCUCUCCAUUCUUAUUCAUUUGACUUUACUUCUAAAUUAACUUUUGGGACAGAAGCUGAUCUGGCAAUUAUGUUUUUGUUAUAAGUUAAUCAAUUAUGAACAAUGCUUAAUUGAUUAAUUUGGCAUUUUUCAGCAAGUGUGUAAAAACUAAAAAGUGGAACUUCAGCCCCGCCACACCUAUUCAACCCCCUUCUAGGUGUAUUCUGUCAGUGAUACAUAACAUAAUUCUCCUACAUUUUUUUCAUCUUUAUUAAACAUGCCUAUUCUCUUCUAUCCUCAAACAAGAUAUGAUUUUAUACUCAUUUCAUUAUUCAUAUUUUGUAGUCUUCAUCAUUCAUGAUUCGACUCAAUGAGAUCUUCACUAGUAGAUAUAGUUUUAUUUCAUUUUUCAUCAAACAAAGAGAUAAAAAAACCUUAAAAUAAAAAAACUAAUAUAAUUUUGAACAUAUUUGAAUUCUCACAACUAUCACGAGGGUUUAUCUAUACAUACUAAAGUUUUAGAUCUUAGAAUAUGUAGUAAUUACAUAUUUAAGGAGUAGAUCUUAUAAAAAAUCUCAAUAAAUAUCAUUUAAUCAUAUUUUAAAACUUAAAUAGUAAGAAUCCAAUGUUAUUAUUAAUAAAAUGAACUAUAAUAUUACAAUUAAUAAGGAAAUCUGUUGAUAUUCCAUCUCACUUAAAAAAUGAUACACAACGAUUUUAUUUCAAAUUAAUCAUUUUUAAUACUAAUUAUUUAAAUAGAUUUUACAACGUUCUCGAUUAAUAUUAUUUAAUUGUUUUUAAAACUUAAGUAGUAGGAAUUUAAUCAUAUUAUUAAUAGAAUGAGUUGUGAUAUUACAAUUAAUAAGGAUAUUUGUUGAUAUUCUAUCUGACUUAAAAAUAAAAUUAUUGUGUAGAGAUAAAAAUAAAAAUAUUGUAUUCAUUAUAUGAUAAAUUUUAUUAUUAUUAUAGCAACUAAGCAUAUUAAUAUUUUUUUAAUUUUUAAUUUACGAAUUUGUUCAAAUCAGAAAAAAAUAGAGGGAAUUUUCUAAAAAAAUAACAUCUUUGAGAAUUGAUUUUAAUGUGAUAAAGGAGUUACAUUUAUAUAAAAUAUUAAAAUAGCAGUCUACCAAUGCUAAUGUUAUUUUUAUUUUGAAAUCAUAUUAUUCUUCUACCUAUAUUUAUGGCUUAUAAACAAUAUAUUGGAUUUGAUUUGAUUGUGAUAAUAAAUUGAUUUGUUUUAUAUUUGGUUCAUACUUUAUUUAUUUACUUUUGAUUGCUUAAUUUAAGGAAUGCUCAUUAUUGAUAUAAAUUUAGAAAUAUUCAUCGUACAUACUUUGUGAUAAUGGCUUUGUUAAAUUUCAUUCAAAACCACCUAUUGAAAAAAUUCACCAAAGUAUAAUUAAUUGUUUAUUUAUAAAUAUAAUUACUAUUUCUUUCAACUAGUAAUUUAAUAACUCUAUUGAUUUAAUUGUCAACAUAAAUUACAUAAUGACUUGCAUGUAAAUCUUUUUUUGGUAUAUUGGAAAUAAACACAAUCCAUGUAUAUUUUAUUACCUGAAAUAACUUUUAUGUAUAAAUACAGUGUGAUAACAUCACAAAAUCUCUAACCUUGAUAACUUAGCAAAAUUGAUGAUGGCUAAACCAAGUAUCUAUGUCUUCUUGUUCUGUCUACUUUUACUACUUUCUUCCAAUCUCAUGGUUAUAACCACUCAUGGCAUAUCCCUUUACCCUAGAAUACAUGUUUACAUCAAGAAUGGUUUAUCCCAAGGUACACUUCUAACUCUUCAUUGCAAAUCCAAAUCCAAAGACGAUGACCUUGGUGUACAUUAUCUCAACUACCAAGAGGAAUAUACAUUUUCAUUUCACUAUAAUAUUUUUGCUCUUCAAGGAUAUACAUUGUUUUUUUGCGGCUUCACAUGGAA